CUUUGCAGGUUGUGUUUUUUCCCUUUACUUUUUAGAGUUUUAGGGUGAUGUUGUGGAUUUAGCAAGCUAAUUCCAAAUUAUUUAUCUGUAAAGAAUCUGUUUUUAUGCUUAAUACGUUAGUUCUUGUUACAAGUUGAAACAUAGGAAUUUAGUUGUCUAGAUUGUUAAUUGUAUGAUAAGGAGUUUGUGGAUGUAAGCAAGAGAAACAAAUGCACUAUCAUUUUGAGCGAGCUACUCAAUGGGCUCUAAAUUGAGGAUUCCUACUAGCAAUGGUGUUAUGCCCAAAUUAGGGAGGGGGUACCGCCCUUUGAAGGUAGUUUGCAUGGACUAUCCGAGGCCAGAACUCGAGAAUACAGUUAACUAUAUUGAAGCUGCUUACCUGUCCUCUUCAUUUCGUUCUGCUCCACGUCCAAGUAAACCAUUGGAAGUUGUUAUUGCUGGUGCCGGUUUGGUUGGGUUGUCUACUGCAAAUAUUUAGCAUAUGCGAGCCACAAACCAAUACUGUUGGAGGCACGAGAUGUGCUAGGAGGAAAGGUAGCUACAUGGAAAGAUGAUGACAGAGACUGGUGUGAGACUGGCUUACACAUAUUCUGUUCUGAAGUUUCAGAAGCUUCUCAUCAGUCCAUUGGCAAAAGUGAUGAAGAAUGGUUACGUUGCAAAUUAUCCAA